CCUACGGGUGACAGCAGUGAGGAAUAUUGGUCAAUGGACGAGAGUCUGAACCAGCCAAGUAGCGUGAAGGAUGACUGCCCUCUGGGUUGUAAACUUCUUUUAUAAAGGAAUAAAACGAGGCACGUGUGCCUUUUUGCAUGUACUUUAUGAAUAAGGAUCGGCUAACUCCGUGCCAGCAGCCGCGGUAAUACGGAGGAUCCGAGCGUUAUCCGGAUUUAUUGGGUUUAAAGGGAACGUAGAUGGGAUGUUAAGUCAGUUGUGAAAGUUUGGGGCUCAACCGUAAAAUUGCAAUUGAUACUGGCAGUCUGGAGUAUAGUAGAGGAUGGUGGAAUUCGAGGUGUAGGGGUGAAAUGCGUAGAUAUCACGAAGAACCUCGAUGGCGAAGGCAGCUUACUAA
rnacentral:rRNA from 1 species